CGUCGGAAGGUAGUGACGAAAAUAACGAUACGGGACUCAUCCGAGGCCCCGUAAUCGGAAUGAGUACAGUUUAAAAUGUUUCCCGAGGAUCUAUUGGAGGGCAAGUCUGGUGCCAGCAGCCGCGGUAAUUCCAGCUCCAAUAGCGUAUAUUAAAGUUGUUGCGGUUAAAAAGCUCGUAGUUGGAUCUCGGCAAGUAGAGGGCGGUAUGCNUUCGUAGCAUUANCUGCCCUAUUACUUGUAGUUUUGCCAGAGGUUCCUGGGUGCUCUUAAUCGAGUGUCUAGGGAUGCUUGGCAGGNUUUACUUUGAAAAAAAUUAGAGUGCUCAAAGCAGGCUAUUACGCUUGAAUAUUCGUGCAUGGAAUAAUAGAAUAGGAAGUUGUUUCUAUUUUGUUGGUUUUCGGAAAUCGACUUAAUGAUUAAUAGGGACAGUCGGGGGCAUUUGUAUUCAAACGACASAGGUGAAAUUCUUGGACCGUUUGAAGACAAACUACUGCGAAAGCAUUUGCCAAGAAUGUUUUCAUUAAUCAAGAACGAAAGUUAGAGGUUCGAAGGCGAUUAGAUACCGCCCUAGUUCUAACCAUAAACGAUGCCAGCUAGCGAUCUGAGGACGUUUUUUUUGUAGACUCCUCAGGAAGCUUCCGGGAAACCAAAGCGUGUGGGUUCCGGGGGAAGUAUGGUUGCAAAGMUGAAACUUAAAGGAAUUGACGGAAGGGCACCACCAGGAGUGGAGCCUGCGGCUUAAUUUGACUCAACACGGGAAAUCUCACCAGGCCCGGACACUGGAAGGAUUGACAGAUUGAGAGCUCUUUCUCGAUUCGGUGGGUGGUGGUGCAUGGCCGUUGUUAGUUGGUGGAGUGAUUUGUCUGGUUAAUUCCGAUAACGAACGAGACUCUGUCCUGCUAAAUAGUGUCAGCCUCUCUUCUGGGCUGACAAUUCUUCUUAGAGGGACUGGCGGCUCCUAGCCGCACGAGAUAGAGCAAUAACAGGUCUGUGAUGCCCUUAGAUGUUCUGGGCAGCACGCGCGCUACACUGAAUAGAUCAACGUGUUUUCCCUUUCUGAGAAGAACGGGUAAACCGCUGAACCCUAUUCGUGGUAGGGAUCGGGGCUUGCAAUUAUUGCCCCGUGAACCUAGGAAUUCACCAGUAGGCGCGAGUCAUAAGCUCGCGUCGAUUACGUCCCUGCCCUUUGUACACACCGCCCGUCGCUACUACCGAUUGAACGUUUUAGUGAGGUCCACGGCACUCGUUGCAGAGCCGGAUUACUCUGCCUAGCUGGUC
rnacentral:rRNA from 1 species